AGUGAACGCUGGCGGUAGGCCUAACACAUGCAAGUCGAACGGCAGCACAGUAAGAGCUUGCUCUUACGGGUGGCGAGUGGCGGACGGGUGAGGAAUACAUCGGAAUCUACUUUUUCGUGGGGGAUAACGUAGGGAAACUUACGCUAAUACCGCAUACGACCUACGGGUGAAAGCAGGGGAUCUUCGGACCUUGCGCGAUUGAAUGAGCCGAUGUCGGAUUAGCUAGUUGGCGGGGUAAAGGCCCACCAAGGCGACGAUCCGUAGCUGGUCUGAGAGGAUGAUCAGCCACACUGGAACUGAGACACGGUCCAGACUCCUACGGGAGGCAGCAGUGGGGAAUAUUGGACAAUGGGCGAAAGCCUGAUCCAGCCAUACCGCGUGGGUGAAGAAGGCCUUCGGGUUGUAAAGCCCUUUUGUUGGGAAAGAAAAGCAGCAGGUUAAUACCCCGCUGUUCUGACGGUACCCAAAGAAUAAGCACCGGCUAACUUC
rnacentral:rRNA from 1 species